UACGUAGGGUGCAAGCGUUAUCCGGAAUUAUUGGGCGUAAAGAGCUCGUAGGCGGUUUGUCACGUCUGCUGUGAAAACUCGGGGCUCAACCCCGAGCCUGCAGUCGAUACGGGCAGGCUAGAGUUCGGUAGGGGAGACUGGAAUUCCUGGUGUAGCGGUGAAAUGCGCAGAUAUCUGGAGGAACACCGGUGGCGAAGGCGGCAUCCUGGACCGAUAUUGACGCUGAUGCGCGAAAGCCAGGGGAGCAAACGGG
rnacentral:rRNA from 1 species